GGCCUCCCAAUUCUUACCACAUGCUGUGUUCUUUACACUGUAUAAAAAGAGGAGGUACAGUAAAUGCACCCCAAAUAUACCUCAACCCAGGCCCUUUUCCUGGUCUGUAUUGCGAAUUGGGGGACAAAA